AUUGAACGCUGGCGGCAGGCUUAACACAUGCAAGUCGAGCGGAGUGAUGGUGCUUGCACUAUCACUUAGCGGCGGACGGGUGAGUAAUGCUUAGGAAUCUGCCUAUUAGUGGGGGACAACAUCUCGAAAGGGAUGCUAAUACCGCAUACGUCCUACGGGAGAAAGCAGGGGAUCACUUGUGACCUUGCGCUAAUAGAUGAGCCUAAGUCGGAUUAGCCAGUUGGUGGGGUAAAGGCCUACCAAGGCGACGAUCUGUAGCGGGUCUGAGAGGAUGAUCCGCCACACUGGGACUGCGACACGGCCCAGACUCCUACGGGAGGUAGCAGUGGGGAAUAUUGGACAAUGGGGGGAACCCUGAUCCAGCCAUGCCGCGUGUGUGAAGAAGGCCUUAUGGUUGUAAAGCACUUUAAGCGAGGAGGAGGCUCUUUUGGUUAAUACCCAAGAUGAGUGGACGUUACUCGCAGAAUAAGCACCGGCUAACUCUGUGCCAGCCGCCGCCGUAA
rnacentral:rRNA from 1 species